rnacentral:rRNA from 1 species
GACGAACGCUGGCGGCGUGCUUAACACAUGCAAGUCGAGCGGAGCGGCGAACGGGUGAGUAACGCGUGAGUAACUGCCCCCCUCUCUGGGAUACCAGUUGGAAACGGCUGCUAAUACCGGAUAGUGGGGGAUGACUCGCGUCCUAUCAGCGUGUUGGUGGGGUAGUUACCUACCAAGGCGCCGACGGGUAGCCUGCCUGAGAGGGGGACCGGCCACAUUGGGCUGAGGUACGGUCCAAACUCGUACGGGGGGCAGCAGGGGGGAAUAUUGCACAGUGGGGGAAACCCUGAUGCGGCAGCGCCGCGUGCGGGAUGACGGCCUUCGGGUUGGAAACCGCUUUCAGCCAUGACGCGGUAGUGGCAGAAGAAGCACCGGCUAACUACGUGCCAGCAGCCGCGGUAAUUC